GACGAACGCUGGCGGCGUGCUUAACACAUGCAAGUCGAACGGAAAGGCCCUGCUUUUGUGGGGUGCUCGAGUGGCGAACGGGUGAGUAACACGUGAGUAACCUGCCCUUGACUGUGGGAUAACUUCAGGAAACUGGGGCUAUUACCGGAUAUGAGCAUCUGCUGCAUGGGGGGGGUUGGAAAGUUUCGGCGGUUGGGGAUGGACACGCGGCCUAGCAGCUUGUUGGUGGGGUAGUGGCUUACCAAGGCUUUGACGGGUAGCCGGCCUGCGAGGGUGACCGGCCACAUUGGGACUGAGAUACGGCCCAGACUCCUACGGGAGGCAGCAGUGGGGAAUAUUGCACGAUGGGCGGAAGCCUGAUGCAGCAACGCCGCGUGCUGGAUGACGGCCUUCGGGUUGUAAACCGCUUUCGCCUGUGACGAAGCGUGAGUGACGGUAAUGGGUAAAGAAGCACCGGCUAACUACGUG
rnacentral:rRNA from 1 species